rnacentral:pre_miRNA from 1 species
AACAAAUCAAUUUUUCAGUUUUUAGAUACAAUGUUUGACUCUUCGUCUUAUUCAAAAAAAUUAUGAUUAAUACUUUUAUUUUUAUUAAAUGAUAAACAUAAAUAGUACUUUAUGUGUGACUAAUUUUUUUAAAAUUUCUUGAUAAAUUUUCAAAUAAGACAGAUGGUCAAACACUCGACACAAAAACCAAAAGGUUGGUUUUUU